UACGUAGGGGGGCUAGCGUUGUCCGGAAUCAUUGGGCGUAAAGAGCGUGUAGGCGGUCCGGUAAGUCCGCUGUGAAAGUCGGGGGCUCAACCCUCGAAUGCCGGUGGAUACUGUCGGGCUAGAGUGCGGAAGAGGCGAGUGGAAUUCCUGGUGUAGCGGUGAAAUGCGCAGAUAUCAGGAGGAACACCAAUGGCGAAGGCAGCUCGCUGGGACGUGACUGACGCUGAGACGCGAAAGCGUGGGGAGCGAACAGG
rnacentral:rRNA from 1 species